UAAAGCAAGCAGUAAUAAGUUAGUUACUUAUAUAUCACAUUAGAGAACAAACCUUCCGAAGGUUACCGGAUAAAAUCCUCUUCCCUUAGUUUAUGCUAAUCGAUUGAGUAGUCACUUAUAAUAUAAUCCGUAGCAUUUAAGCCCUAUGGAUGGAGGCUUCUUGCUACUGCCUUACCAUAAGAGCAAUAAGCCUGUCACAGGCAAACAACCUCUUGAGUCUCUAACUUCCGAAUCCGAAUGCCCAAAUAGGGGCUUUCUUUUCUCUUGCAUGCGCCUUCCUUCCUCAUUCAUUCAAAUCAAAGGAAGCUUCAUCGGGAAGGCACCGGGAUGGCGGCUUGGCUUCGCUAUCGCUCAUGACUUGGUAUAGAGUCCGUGUAGUAGCAGUCCUCUCUUGAGAUAUAUAUAAGGUUACAUAUAUAUCCUAGCUGAGGCUGUGAUCGCAGCAGCUAGUUGUACAGCAGAGUUCUGGUUCAAAAAAUCUGAGCCCAUCUUAUCUUGGUAUUGCGGCUGCGAAGUAUUCUC
rnacentral:lncRNA from 1 species